UGUCUGCACGUCGGUUUUGUUCGGAGAUGCAAUGCAAGAUAAAUAAGAAAGAGAACUUUGGAUGCCAUUAUCUACCACGCGGUACUUCCAUUGACCUACAGGCAUUUACAAGAGCACUUGUGCACCAGGACAUGGAAAAAUCCAGACAUUUCACAGCCCAGGAAUACGACUGUGUGCUAAUAUGAAUCCCUAGAUCCAGCACACUUUGGCCUGUCGGUCCAAGUGGUGGCUCACUGGAAUCAGCCAGGAAAAACCAGGAUGUGUUUGCAGUAAUUUAAGAGGGGGAGUAUUACAUCUUCAGUAACCUGCCUCGGCGACUCUGUACCUCCCAAGAGCUUUUCGUCUCCUUCCCAAGGCGCUGAGCCGCUCGCUACCUGGAAGACGGCAGGGCCGGAGCACCGUGAACAGAACACAGCAGAAAUAAUUCUUGGCUUGCUGCUGGGCCCCGGUAGAGACUGAGUGCCUGAUCACAGAACUGGCUGGCAGGGUAACCUGAGCUGCCCGUCAGGAGCUGGUGUUACCAGGUGCUAUAAACCAGAACAAACACAUGGGCUCCUCAGAAGUAAAUCACGAGAUACAAACGUGAACAGGCUCUGAAAGCGCAGGGUGUUUUAGAAAGAAGCAUGUGGGUGGAACCCUUGGACUGGAGCCGAGGGCGGGAGCACCGUGCACCGUGAGGGUGCUCCCCGCAGGCCUCCAGUGAGCAGCGACUGCCGGCCUCAUCCUCCGGCCCGGUGCUGCCUGGCCAAGAGAUGCCCUGACUCCGAGGGCCGCGUCUAGAGCCUGCACAGCAGCAAACACCUCCCCUCUCCGGGCCACUUGCUCCAGCCCCUGAGGGGUGUCCAGUCCCCAGCCCAAGGGAGAGGCCAAAGAGGACUCACUUUUCCCCGGGGACCCAGUGGCCACCUGACUGGACUGGAGCAUUAGACUGCUUUCAUCAGCAGGGGAAUAACUUAUCCUGACUGGGCCAAACAUUUCCUAAGGAUGUGCCUUCCAUCCUGACAUGCUCCUCCCAGCAGCCACGUCUCUGAGCUUCCUGGACGCCUGAUUCACAGCACUGUUUCUGACCAAAGAACCAACUGCACACAGACAACAAUAAAAACACUCACAGAAUUUACUGCCUUACCAUGUACCUAUUACCCCAAAUCACCAGACCUUACAGAGAGUUGAAAUGUUUGAAUGAAAAUAAAAUAGAACAUAAUGUCUAAUAAAAAGAGGGUGCUGUCCAGGGGGAAGCAGCCUGGGGCACAGGAUGCGUCACCCUCUCCCUCUCCCACUGGGUGUCUCCCGUCUGCAUCUCUGGGUCCCGCCAGGAGCUCCGAGAGCAUCUGGGCAGCACACAGACACGGUCCUGUGCUCACGGCCUGUGGUGCCUGCCCACAGCUUUAUUCUUCAGGGUCAGAAACAGAGUGACACGAUCUUAAUGUGUAUUUCUGCCCUACCUUCCUGGUUCACUCUUUCUAGACAGAGUAGGUCGGUGGUGGUUAGCAUCGCCCAUUUAGUUCCUAGUUUACAGAAUGUGAAAAAGCCAAAACUCAAGAAAGAAUAAUGACACCGCGACUAUCUGGACUUGAGGUACGUGUAUUAAUUGUUAAACUGUUUGCUAACUGCCUUUGGAGACAAAGGAAAGGAGACUUUAGCUUGUCUAGGUAACAGGUGCAUCGUCCAAGGAGCAUACAUCGUUAUUACAGGAAGUUAGGCUUGGAAGAGGCAUUUUGAAUCGGGACAGGGGGAGGACUGACUCUAAUAAGCAUUUCUCUUUUAUCUCCCAACAAGGUCUGAACAUCCCUCUCUUGUCCGGGGUAUUUUCUAUGUUAGAUUAUUGCCUCCCUAAAAUAAAACCCAGACACCUACUUUCCUAAGAUCCCCAGCCAGGAAGCAUAGGCCUUCUUCACGCGAGAGAGUUCUGUUGGCCAAGUGGAGGCAGAAGGAGCUGCCCUGUGGGACCCAGUCCAGCAAGCGCAUCGCCAACGGACAGACACCGGGUCCAGAAGCCUGGGGGGUAGACUGGUGGCCUUACCCAGUGUCAGCAUUUUAAGCUGUGCUGCCUGGACUGCAGGGAUAAGAGCUGCCAGCAGCACAAUCUGACAGACAAAUGCAUUGCUCUCGAAUGUGAGCCAGGGUCUCUGGCUAUCCCAGGGAUGCUGUGGGCUCCCAACACCCUUUUUAAGAAGUGUGCCUUUCACACCGAUAAACCGCAACAGAGUUUUGUUCAAUGUUUUACAUUACAUACAUUCAUUUGAGUAGGAUAUUUGCAUUAGAGAAAUCUUAGAUACUUCAAGUUUCUUACUUCGUUAAAAUAACACACAUACGCAUGCACACAUGCAUACAGAUAGCCAACAAAAAUUCACCCGCAAAUGUUUUGAAGUAUAGCAAACUAGACUAUGCUGAAAAAUACCAUUUAAAACCUCUUAACUGAGAAGCUAAAGUUGAACAGAUUUCAUAAGCCCAGGGGCUGUCUGAUACACCAUAAAAGCCUCCCGUAAUCAGACCUCAGCAUAUGAAGACAGUUCAGUGCCAGGUUAACAGAAGCAGAAACUGUAACCUCAAGCACUUUGUGGUAAGCACCAUCAUGGUUUGAAGGCAGGGAAACCAUCUUGUAUACACUGACAUUUAAAUUGUCUACUUUGGGGAUAUACAUACACCUGAAAACAGAGAAAUUUAAAUUACACUGAAUUAACCACAGUUAUCCAAAAGAAUAACUUUUUAAUAAACAUAUGUUCCAAGGCCGAUAUAGUCAAUUAGAAUUGUAUCUAAAGGGACUCUCAUUUGUAUUCCCUCCAAGUUCACUAAUGGAAGUCCUCAAUUUCUCCUAUGGAAUUGUGUUUUUGCUUGAAUAAAAUGUAAGUUCAUGGUAUUUUCAGCUCAGGGAGACUGGGGAUGGAGAACUUUCUAUUAAUAUUUAAGAUAGGAAAAUUGGUGAUUUAAAUCUGUAUUUCAUAUACCAAACAAAUUUAUACUUCCUUCUAUUCAUACCUAAGCAUCAUUUCAAAGUUAUUUGAUUCCCCAUCAGAAAGUCACUGAGCCAACGCCCCAGAGAACUGUAGUCAAGUGGUAGAGAAAUGUCACUCACUACAGGUGCAUUCUAUUCCCUGAACAUCCUGUGGUAGGGCGAAUCCUUUUUUGAGAAGAUGAAGACAUGAUAUUAGAGAAAGAACUAUAUAGCCUGAGAAUAAAAAACAAACACGAAUCCUCUGCUUUAAAAAGAAUAUUAAGCAUUUUCAGAUUAGAGAAGUGAUAUGUUGAUGUAAAAACCUCAGACAUAGAGAUAAUGUUUAACAAGACAAACAUUUUAAUUACACCAUUUUUAGUGCAUUGGUAAUUCUGUCAUUAAGUGGACUUCUGGUUACCCAUAAAUAUAAAUAUACAUGCACAUAUAUUUUGGACAUAUAUGUGUAUGUAUAUGCAUGUAUAUAUUUGGAAAAGGUUAUAUAUAUGGUAUGCACAUAUGUAUAUAAACAUUUUUACAUUACAAUGUGAAUCUGUCCUUGACCUAUGUCUACUUUUCAGUUUGUUAUAUAGAUACACUAUAAUUUACUGAACUGCUCUUAUUGGACAUUUAUCUUAUUACUGCCCUGUAUUAUGACAAAUAAUGCUAGGUUAAAGAUCCUAUUACAUUAUGUGUAUUUUUAUUACAAGGAUAAGGGUCAAAGUGUACAGAAAGAAAAUGGAUAAUAUUGUUUUUGAAACUGGGUACUGUAUUUCCUACCAGAAAGUUUCUAGCAGGUUAUAUUCCAAUAGCAGGGCAUUAUAGAUACAUUUUCAGUAGACUAUGCCAAAAAAUAUGUAUUCUAAUUUGUUUUCUAAUUUAACUGCUGAGGAGUGUACACUGUGUUUUAAUUUGUAUGAUUGAAAACUAGUUAUUUUUUAGUGUCAAAAUUUAUCUGUUUUUAUUUCCUUUGUUAUGAGUUGCCUUUCACAAUUUCUAUCUGGUUUUUGUCUUUUUCUUAUUAAUUUGUAAG